AGGGUGGGAGCGUGCAUUGUAAUUACUGGGUGUGUAGAGAGGGCAGGUGGUUUUGUAAGUCAGUCGUGAAAUCACCGGGCUCAACCUGGUAACGGCGUUCGAAACUGCCAGGCUAGAGUGUAUCAGAGGGGGGUGGAAUUCCUGGUGUAGCGGUGAAAUGCGUAGAGAUAUGGAGGAACACCAAUGGCGAAGGCAGCCACCUGGGUUAACUCUGACGCUCACUCACGAAAGCGUGGGGAGCGAACGGGCUU
rnacentral:rRNA from 1 species